ensembl:lncRNA
GAAGCCAGGAAGGCCAUGGGAAAAGAAAGGGCUAUAUUUUAGACUGGAGGCAUAAGACAGCAUCUGGAGAGGGCAGGAGGUGAAGAGGAACACAAUGGAACUGCCCAGGGCUUUAUGGUGCCUUAUCUCAGAAGUGACAGGAUCAACCAAGUUUGAACUUCAACUUUCAUGAAGUCACUGAGCCCUGGAUCUCAGUAAAGUUAUCAGUUUUGCUAUACUGUGAGGCAUCUCGGAGACACUUUCUGUAUUUCCAAGUGCACCAGACAACUUUUUAAAUCAAAUUUCUAUUUCAAAAUUUAUGUUGCUCAAAGCAUGUGGUUAUGACAUUUAAUUCUAUGCUAUGUGAAGGGAAGUCCUUCCCUCUGAAAAGGGACUACAGUUAUGACAUCUGACAGUGAUUCACAUGAAUUGCUACUAGAUGACUUUCAUUCAUCUUCUAAUUUAUUCAUGUGAGAAACAUUUAUUGAAUACCUUAGGUACCAGAUAUUCUGAAAAGCACUGGUUAUGUAGCAGAAGUCUGUAAUUUUUUCUGUGAAGGGCUAGGGGCAAAUAUUAGGCUGAGAGUCAUAAGAUCUCUGGUUAUAAUUGCUCAGCUCUGCUGUUAUAUCAUUAUAUCAGCCAUGCAUGAUACAUAAACAAAUCAGUGUGGCUGAUAAACUUUAUUUAUAGACACUAAAAUUUGAGUUUCAUGUAUUAAAUAAUUUUUAGUUGUUCAUAAAAUAGUAUUAUUUUGACUUUUUCCCAAACAUUUAAAAAUGUAAAAGCCUUUUUAGCUCAUGGAUGGUACAAAAACAGGCUGCAGGCUGGAUUUGGCCUGUGGGAUAUAUUUUGCCAGUCCUUGGUAUAUAG